UCCCUUUUUUCUUCUUUUUAAAAAUCUCUAACAUGAUAGGGUAUUUAUAAUACUCCUAUCCUACUCCUACUAAACUAAUAAAAUAAAUAACCAAAUCCUAAUAUACUAAUGAAAUCCUUGACCCAAUUGUACUAGGGUAAGGUUACAAAAUUAUAAUCCAAAUAGAAUGAUGAAACACAUAACCUAAUUGCACUAGGUUAAUGUAUUAUGGCAAAAAUCCAGCUUUGUGUCUGUAAGUCCCAAAGUCUUCAGAAAUGCUGUUUUAGCCCGGGACAGAUUUUCCAUGCAGCAGAUUUAGUCCUUUAUGCGUCCAGCUCCUUUCCAUCUCGUUUGUGAGCUUUCUUUUGCGUCAAGUAAGCCAUAAAUUGCUGUAUUUUGCAUCAUUUAUACCUGAAACUUUCC
rnacentral:lncRNA from 1 species